CCAUUUAAAAAUAAUAAUUGUACAAGCCCAUUUUGCCCGGGCCCAUACCAGCAAAACAGAUACACUAGACCCAACUAACCCAAACAAACCCAAAAUUAUUAACCUAGCCCAAAAUUUAAAAAAAGAGACCAACGGCCCAAAACAUAAACAAAUUUCAGCAAAAAAGAAAACCCUAGGGUUUCCCUGCCUCUCCAGCACCGCGCCACCUGCUACCAUGUGCGUCUGACGCCUCCUGCCACGGCCGUACGGUCACCUGCAAACACGCAAGAAGAAAAGCAGAAGUAGACAAGACUAGACAGAAAAAAUUUAGCUUUCUUUGGCUAUAAAGCCGAAUAUUGUAAAAUGAAAUAGGGGGCUUCAUCACUGUAAUCGAGAGUCCCGAUUUUUGAAAAAAAAACAUUAAAAGAAAGAAAUACAAAGCAGAAAACAGAGAAGGUUUUCCCUUCUUUUUCUCUAUCAUUCUGUUUAGAAGAUCUUUUUUUCUUUUGUUUUAUCUACUUCUUUUUAGAAUAUUAGUAAUAAAAUAAAUAAAAGGGGACUCACCGGGAACCGCCACGGUUUCGCCGUCGGAGGGCUUCUCCUCCGUCUCCGAUUCGGAUCCGAAAGGGGUUGAGGAUUCCCCUCUUUCUCGCGGGUUGAGAGAGCUUGGCUCUCAAGGACGCCGCAACGAGGGCUAAAGGGCCUUUCUUUCUCGGCGUUGACCGUCGGCCACGGGGUGCCGCAGCGGAGGCCGAAGAAGGCCAUCGUUCGGAUGGUUGGGGGGGAGGUGGAGAGUUUUUGUUUUUUUUUAUUUCUU
rnacentral:lncRNA from 1 species